rnacentral:misc_RNA from 1 species
AACGCACCUUGCGCCUUUUGGUAUUCCGAAAGGCAUGCCUGUUUGAGUGUUAUGAAUACUCACCCAGUACUAUUUUGUACCGUGGUGGACAUGGGCGCUGCCGUCUUUGGCUCGCCUCAAAUGCAUUAGCAGCAGAUGUAAUAAGUUUCAUCAGCCUGCUUACAAAAUCAUUUGUACACUUGACCUCAAAUCAGGUAGGACUACCCGCUGAACUUAA